rnacentral:rRNA from 1 species
CCCUUAGAUGUUCUGGGCGGCCCGCGCACUACAAUGGCGUGUGCAGCGAGUGCCGAAGUAGAGUUUUCCGAGGUAUUCUUGCAAUGCUCGUUUUGAUGGGGAUAGACCCUUGCAACUGUUGGUUUUGAACGAGGAAUUCCUUGUAAGCAUGGUUUAUCAUCCGACGCUGAAUGCGUCCCUGCCCUUUGUACACACCGCCCGUCGCUCCUACCGAUUGAACGGUUUAGUGAGGGCCUCGGAUUGGUCUCGGCCCGCUCUUUACCGGGCGGCGCCGUUGGUCGAGAAGACGCUCGAACUUGAUCGUUUAGAGGAAGUAAAAGUCGUAACA